UACAGAGGGUGCGAGCGUUGUUCGGAAUUACUGGGCGUAAAGCGCGCGCAGGCGGCUUUUUAAGUCCAUCGGUGAAAUGCCGGGGCUCAACCCCGUGCCUGCCGAGGAUACUGGAAGGCUGGAGACACGUAGAGGCAAGCGGAAUUCCGGGUGUAGCGGUGGAAUGCGUAGAGAUCCGGAAGAACACCAGAGGCGAAGGCGGCUUGCUGGGCGUAGUCUGACGCUGAGGCGCGAAAGCGUGGGGAGCGAACAGG
rnacentral:rRNA from 1 species